rnacentral:rRNA from 1 species
GACGAACGCUGGCGGCAGGCCUAACACAUGCAAGUCGCACGAGUGGCGGACGGGUGAGUAAUGUCUGGGAAACUGCCUGAUGGAGGGGGAUAACUACUGGAAACGGUAGCUAAUACCGCAUACCAUCGGAUGUGCCCAGAUGGGAUUAGCUAGUUGGUGGGGUAAAGGCUCACCUGGGCGACGAUCCCUAGCUGGUCUGAGAGGAUGACCAGCCACCCUGGAACGGAGACACGGUCCGGACUCCUACGGGAGGCAUCAGUGGGGAAUAUUGCACAAUGGGCGCAAGCCUGAUGCAGCCAUGCCGCGUGUAUGAAGAAGGCCUUCGGGUUGUAAAGUACUUUCAGCGGGGAGGCGUUACACGCAGAAGAAGCACCGGCUAACUCCGUGCCAGCAGCCGCGGUAAUUC